rnacentral:rRNA from 1 species
CGUUAGUUGCCAUCUGGUAAAGCAGGGGGACUCUAAGCGGAAAACUGGCCACCGUAAGGUGAGAGGAAGGUGGGGAUGACGUCAAAUCAGCACGGCCCUUAUGUCCAGGGCUACACACGUGUUACAAUGGUCGGUACAGAGGGCAGCUACCUGGUGACAGGAUGCUAAUCUCGAAAACCGGCCUCAGUUCGGAUCGAAGUCUGCAACUCGACUUCGUGAAGCUGGAUUCGCUAGUAAUCGCGCAUCAGCCAUGGCGCGGUGAAUACGUUCCCGGGCCUU